rnacentral:misc_RNA from 1 species
UUUGUGUUGCUCUGCUAUUUCUAUUCAAACAGGUAUGCGUGGGAUGGCUGCUAGGGAUGAGUUACGCUUCAGAAGGCAGACUAGAGCAGCAAUUGUAAUUCAGAGCCAAUGUCGCAAAUACUUGGCCCAGUUACAUUAUUUGGAGUUAAAGAAAGCAGCAAUUGUAACACAAUGUGCAUGGAGAGGGAGAGUUGCUCGUAAAGAACUGCGGAAACUUAAGAUGGCUGCA